UAAAAUCAAUUAUAUAACUACUGUGAGUUAAAUGUAAUGCACGUGUUACAACAACGCUACAUGCAACAUUUAUUAUUAUAAUGGUGUUUUUAUAUUUUACUUUUAUAUUCAUAUUAUAAAUGACCUAGCCUAAGAAGAAUGAUAAAUAAAGACUAAAAUAAGAAAUAUCUACAUUGUUGUAUGUACCUAUUUAUAUUAGCGCAGAGGCGUCAUAUUUUUUUUUGCAAAACAGUCAAUUUGGCUAAUUUAUUCUACAAGAAUAAAGUGCCAAAUUGUCUCAAUGGCUCGCCUGCUGUGCUCGCUUGGAUAUAAUUAAGAGUAAUUGGUGCGCGAAUUGGUUCUAAAUGGAUUAACGGCCCAAGGUCACAUUCACCCUGUAGUAUACAUAACUCGGUAAAGACAAGUAAUCAACUCUUAACAUAUUUACAAAACACAUUAUUUACAAUAUUCAAACGAUUGUAGUUUCCUACACAAAUAAAUCUGCGUCUAUGGGAUAAAUGCGCACUAGAAUCAUAACUACUGAUGCAGUUGUAGUGCAGUUUUUUUCCAUCGUAAUAUUUUCACGGAAACUUACGAACGUGUAUUGCUAUUUUAGUCAGUCUCGGAACAAAAAGUACGCUUCAUAAUAAGCUGUCUGAUGUAGUCUGUGAGCGUCAUAGCAUGGUGUCCUAAUAGGGACACUGCGUACAAAAUGUAAUCGCAUCUAAACCUAUUUUUUUUUCUAGAUGCGCAAUUGCCCCAUGGACGCAAUUACCUUAUAAAUGAUCGCAUUUUGUCUACUUUGAGUAUUACUAUUUGUAAUUAUUCAAGACGUUUUCUUUCGUCGAGUUAACGUAGCUCAUGAAAUUAACAUUAACACUUAAAAAUCGAAUCAAUCAAUCAAAUGUACAUCUCACUCUUCUCUGUCUCUUUUUUUGCAAGUUAACGAAAAGUGAUAGAGAACGACACUAAAAUACUGCCUAAGAUGCAAAACUAUCUUGGCAUAAAAGUUUGCCGUUCAUAGUGCUAGCUCACUUCGGAAAAAUCAUUGUAUUCUAAUUACAGUCGAGUCGCAUCAUGGUAAACUCAGGGCAUGACAUAUUUCGCAACAGUAUGGUUUUUCUAUUAAGCCUACUAAGUCAGUGAUUAUGUUGUUGAUGUUUUCGGUGAUGGGAUGGGAGGGGUUUGUCCGGAUGAUAUAUCGGCGCUCGUCCGUCGCGUCAUGGAGUUUACAAAAUACUUGCGUUCAGUUACAUAUUUCGCAACAAUAUGGUUUUUCCACUAAGCCUACUAACUCAGGAGUGAUGUUGUUGUAGAUGUUUCUUCUUCGGUGAUGGGGUGGGAGGGAUUUGUCCGGUUAGUAUGCCGCCGCUCGUCCGUCGCAUUAUAGAGUUUACAAGAAACUUGCGGCAUCAGUUGCAUAUUUCUCAACAGUAUGUUUUUUCUAUUAAGCCUACUAAUUCAAGAGUGGUGUUGUUGUUGGUGUUUCUUCUUCGGUGGUGGGGUGGGAGGGGUUUGUCCGGCCGAUAUGCCGCCGCUCGUCCGUUGCGUCAGAUGACAUGUUUCGCAACAGUAUGGUUUUUCCACUAAGCCUACUAACUUAGGAGUGAUGUUGUUGUUGGUGUUUCUUCUUCGGUGGUGGGGUGGGAGGGGUUUGUCCGGCCGAUAUGCCGCCGCUCUUCCGUUGCGUCAGAGAGUUUACAAGAAACUUGCGACAUCAUAUCAGUAUUAUCAGUGACAUGUUUCGCAACAGUAUGGUUUUUCCACUAAGCCUACUAACUUAGGAGUGAUGUUGUUGUUGGUGUUUCUUCUUCGGUGGUGGGGUGGGAGGGGUUUGUCCGGCCGGUAUGCCGCCGCUCGUCCGUUGCGUCAGAGUUUACAAUAAACUUGCGACAUCAUAUCAGUAUUAUCAGUGACAUGUUUCGCAACAGUAUGGUUUUUCCACUAAGCCUACUAACUUAGGAGUGAUGUUGUUGUUGGUGUUUCUUCUUCGGUGGUGGGGUGGGAGGGGUUUGUCCGGCCGAUAUGCCGCCGCUCUUCCGUUGCGUCAGAGAGUUUACAAGAAACUUGCGACAUCAUAUCAGUAUUAUCAGUGACAUGUUUCGCAACAGUAUGGUUUUUCCACUAAGCCUACUAACUUAGGAGUGAUGUUGUUGUUGGUGUUUCUUCUUCGGUGGUGGGGUGGGAGGGGUUUGUCCGGCCGGUAUGCCGCCGCUCGUCCGUUGCGUCAGAUGACAUGUUUCGCAACAGUAUGGUUUUUCCACUAAGCCUACUAACUCAGGAGUGAUGCUGUUGUUGGUGUUUCUUCUUCGGUGGUGGGGUGGGAGGGGUUUGUCCGGC